GACAGGGAUGGACAGAGUCCAGAGAGACGUCAGUGACUGAAACACCAAGGCCUGGUCUUCUCUCUGGAUCCAUCCCAAUUUGGCAGGUACGUCUCUGCUGAGCGUUAAUCUGAGCAACCAUCCAAUAAAAGUCCUGAUUUGCAUUUGAAAGCCACACCUUGUUGUGCCUUGAACUGUGCACCUUAAGGGCCUGCUGCUCAGCGCCCCCCGUUGCUCCGCGCUGAGAGCGUCUUGUCAGCAUCUUUGAUAUCAAUCUCAUCCAUAAAUAGCAGCUUUAAUUUAAUUAAAUCCAACAUCAAAGGGGAAUGACAAAAGCAUUGAUUACGAAUGCAAAUAGCUGCACAGAAAGGCCACAAUGUGUCAUUAAUUAAAGCACAAAAAAGGAGUUUGGAGGGAGAGGGAAACACUGCAGCGUGCGUCGACUUUUCAUCUGAGGCGUUUGCCUGGAACUGGUACAAAUGGGCUUCAUUUAAGACGGCAGCCGAUAAAAACAGGUGGAGCGACACCGUCUCUUACGUCUGUCUCUCCUGCCUCCACUCCUCCGCACUCAGACAAAAGAAUGGGGUAUUUUUUGGCAGUGAGUUAUGAAAACAUUGACAUUAACCCCCCCCAACCUCAACCCGCGCCCCCCGCUGGUGAUCCUGUAGUCUUGAAAAGACAAAUUAAGUGUGACCUUUUGAGUCUGUUACAUGGAGAGCAGGGAAGCCACUGGGAUUACACAGUUGUCUUUAUCUUAGCACUGCUACAUUUCCUGCAUGUCAUCGCCACUAUCCUGCUAACAUUUAUUAUUCUCUACCCUGUAAUCCCAAACCUUUCAUCUUCUCAUAAAUUAAACGCCUGUAAUAACGCUGACAGGAAUAAAUUGUUGGGUUGAGUUGCGGCUCCGCUGCUCUCCUCCUGUCAGUGGACGACAAAUUAAUGACAGUGGCCACGUUUAUAAGAGGAGCUGUAAUCAUGAGGUCAUCCAGGAAACAAAGAGAUGACAAAGAAAGUUGAUCGAAAAAAAGAAAAAAAAGACAAGAGGAGUCACAAUGACAGAGCUGAAAUAGCCAUUAAUGCAGUCACAUUUCUCAAAAAAAAUUCAAGUGGGACUGUUGUAUCCUGACACCCCAAAACUUUUCUUGGCAUGUGGAGAGAGCUAGCAUAGUCAUGUAAGCAUGCUAACACCAAGUCUUGCUGACAAAAAAAAAAUGUACCGAGACAAUGCCCUUUUCCAUGCCACUGGUACACUGACGGUACAAGCAGUAUGCAGGCACGGAGGCAUUAAUAUCUCUACAGUUAUGAUACAGUGAACAAUGUGACUGUUUUGGGUUUUGAUGAAUUUCAGACAAGGAAAAGCUGACUUUUAGACCCAGCAGGUGACUGCUGAGUUUUAUUAUAUUAAUGUGUGUUGAUUAAGUGACAUGUUGGAAUAUUUGUGUGGUCUACAAUUUUAGUUUUUUUUUCCAAAAGCUCCCCAUUUAUUUUUUACAGAUACUUUAUAUAACAAUGAGUAAUUUUUUUGUUGGUUUUUUUAGCUUGGAACAAUGGCUCUAACAGCGUAUUUUUAAAUAAUAAAAAUGUUUUUAUUUUUUCAAACUACACUUAUUGUUGCCUCUGUGGACCUUCUGGAUUUCCUACAGUUUCUGACAGGGAAUGUGAAUUAGCUCUGGUAACACUUCUCUUUACAUGUCCUCAUUUAGCACCUAGUUUUAGCAACUUGGGUUUUGAACCGAAUGCAUUUUUCUCUUAUCUUCAGUUAAAAGGACAUUUGGAUUAUUUUAUCAAUAAAUACUGAUGUCAAAAAAUGAAAGUCACGGCACUAAACAUUCAAGCUUAGCAAUCACAUAUUUUAACUUGCUACAAUUUAAGUCACCAACCCUAUAUAACCUUGAACAAUUCAGCAAAAAAUGGAACCAAGCAGCAGUGGAAAAACCCAGGGGUUUGCAGAAAACCAGUCAACCAUUGCACUGCUGCAACAGAACCCAGUGAAACCACUGCAGGCCGAUCAGAAGGGAAAAAAAAAGCGGAGGAGCCAAAGUUGGUUGCACAGACACUAAAAGAAUGACAAGCUGAGAAGCCCCGUAACACCAGGACCAGCAGGCACGGAGACGGACAGCCCUUGGAAAGCCAGGAAGAGACAGGAAAUCACAGGGGAGUUUGAAUCAAGGCUCAGAUCUUCAGAAUUAACAUUUACUCCCAAUACUUGACCAUUCGUGAGACUCCUUAAAACGUCAUUCUUCAUACACAAGCUGUAGGAUGUGGCAGCCGUGGAGCCAACAGGAAGAAAGCAGACCCUUAACAGACAUGGAAACCGUUCGAUUCCCAUAGAGACACAAAGAAAGGAAGGCAUGUAGAUUUGAACAGGAAGAGAUUGAGACUGUCGACAGAAAGCAGAGAGGCAGGUUCGGGGGGUGGUGGCCGAAGGCGGAUUGCCACAAGACAAGACAUUUCCCACCCCCGUCUGAAAACGGCUGGGACAUACCGCACAGUCAGAUACUGGUGUGGCGUCUGGAAACGGCUUGCAACGAGGUUUGGUGAGGAGGUUGCCCUGAUGGAGAGAUGACAGAAAGGACACUGUUUGACUGGAGACUGACAGAGAUGGAGAAGUGACAACGAGAGCAGACAGACGGUAGAGAAAAAAAAAAAAAAGUUCUCCUUUAAAGACUGGCGCCAACAAAGGUUUCAACUCUACAUCCAGUAUUGAAACAGACGGAUCAGACCUCGGUUGGAGCAUCAACCAAUCAGGCGAUAUUAAAGGACGUCAGAGUGAAGAUGAUGUACUACUGACCAACGUCGGACUGACAUUUAAUGUGGCCAAGAAGGCACUCACUUCCUCAGUAGUCCUGCCCUCCAGCUCCACCAUCUGUUCCACUUUAAUGGGCCUCUCCAGUUUAUGUUGUUGGUCUGUUAUAGUCCGUAGCCACAGGCUGAAGCAGAAGUAGGACUAAUGUAGUAAAAGGGGACGGAGAAACUGUGUGAAGCCUCGUGUGAAGGUAAAUAAGGAGUGCGGUCACGAGGAGGGCACAGCCCACGAAGACCGCCGCUGGACUUUUUAGCACAGUAAAAGCUGUUACUUAAUUCUGGGAAAGCUCUUAAGAAGGAGGCCUGAUUAUGAAGACGGAGCAGUUUCUAUCUGAGUUGGUCGUUCAAGCAUCUGAUUCUAACUAGGUUUUUUAUGGAAAUAAUGCUGCAUUUUUUAAAAUAAUAUAUGUUGUAGACUGUCAAACCAUAAUAAAAAAAUAGCUGAAGAUUUGUUUACCCGCAGUCUGUAUAAAUGACAUAUAUUGACUGUGUGGCAACAAUAAGUGGAUUCACAGUAGAUAUACUGUCCUAAAGAUGUCUCAAUCCGAUAUUCAGGAUCAGUAUCAGUCGGAUAUUGGUAAAAAACUUUUAAAAACCCAACUGAAGCCCGUUCGAUCCAAUACCUGAGCCCAAAUGCUCAUGUUGGACAUAAAAAAGUUGUACCAAGCCAUCCCUAACUACUGUGCAGUAUAUGUUAGUCUGUCCAACUGUUAGAAUGUAUAAAAAAAAAGAAAAAAGAAUUUCACAGUUAACGAAUGCGAUUACGUUCCUCCAAAUUUUGCUCGACUCCAGCUGCUGAUCCUUUAUCACCCUGCAUUAGUGUUCCAGUGUAUUCCUUUAGCAGCACAAUAUUUAAAACAAAGAGUGUUUCUGGUACAGUGGGUUUAGCUUCAACUGCUCCGAAGCCCAGCCUACAGAGCGGGUGUUUCUUGAUGUGACGGCAGUUUUCCUGACUACAAAGUCUCUUCAGCUGUUUCCUGCUUGUCACUGUGUAAACUCUCACGCUGUGCAUGCCUGAGCAGCAGCUCGACCUCGUCAGUGUUCAGCAGAAACGUUCUGAAACUGUGCCAUGAAGACAGACUCACACUGGAACUGUCCUCUGAAGUGAGUGGAAACCAGAAGCUGGUCUCUGCUCAGGAGAUUUCACUGCAUUAAACAGUGUCUCUGCGUGAGGUUUUAAUGUGGACCAUUGAUUGCUGCUUGUUUGCCCAUGUUCCUCCACAACACCAGCUGUUUGUUAGACACUGCUGUGGUUUCAGUCAUUUUUCCCUGAGCUUUUACCAAGAAAAACGGCAGCAGGUAAUAAACAAGGUUAGGGGUUUUAGCUGAGGAGAAAGAGGAGAAGAAAGACUCCUGCUGUUUUGGGAGGUGGACAAAGGAUCAUGGGAUUUGUUGACGUCAAUCUCCUUUACUAUCAAUAAAAACCUGACGCUCAGAUAUAGCCAGGAAACACAGGAGUUAUUUACACAGUUACGUGAAGACACUUGGCCUUCCUAUACUAUACUAGGUUUGACUAGAGAAGUAUUUUAUGGAUGUAUUUUUGUUUUUGAAAAUAUAUUAUAUUGGCUACAGAGCAACACUUUGUCAAUGUAUUUAUAUGUAUAUGGAUAUCUUUGUGCCAUUACAUUUUGCACACAGAAGUGAGAAGGGAGUAUUUGGGAGAAAACUAUUUGCAAUUUUUUUAAAAAAAACCUUUUUGAAUCCAACCACAGCAGAGACAGCGACACACAGCCAGAUGGUGAAAUAGUCUAGCCUUACAAUAUAAAGUACAUUUCUGCAGUAUCUCUACCACUGAUCACUGAAGACUGCAAUACAAAUAACACCCCCGUACCACCACCUGCCCCCUCACUCCCCCAGUGAGAGAGACUUUUCUCCGGGGAACGUCGUGGAGCUGUGAUUUUCUCAGUGAAUUCUCUGCCGUGUUAAGAAGUUUGUCUAUAACAACAUCUCAUCUUAUAUCUUCUGCACUUAAAUCCCACAGGAAAGUGAGAAAGCUUAGCGGUUUGAAUCCUAGCGGCUGCACCA